CAUACACACUUAUUGUGUUGAUCUCCAGGAGAAGAAAAGGGGUGCAAACCCUAGUUCAUAAAGAAUCUUCAAAAUUGAAGGGAAAUUGGAGCUCAAACCCAUUAACGAGCAUGAAUUAAUGAUCACCUACACAAGAUGAUCACAAGUGCAGGUACAUCAUUGUUGGAUCAUUAAAGGAUUGACACGGAAAUGUAAAAUUGGAAGUCAGGGAGUUAUCCGGAUGACAUGCAUUUAAGAAUGGAACGUGAUAUGGCUAUUUAAUUACGUAUUUUAGAUUACGCUUAAUGUCACCAAGUACUAAUAAUGUGAAUGUAUGUGGUGACCACAGGUUACACAGAUCAUUACUAUUAAUCACAAGGGACAAGCGAGUGAAGAUCGAGUCAAAGAACGUGGAUUGUAUAGAAGGAUGGUCACUUGAUCGUAGUCACAUGUUAUAUUUGAAAUAUAUAAAUUAAAAGAUGAAUGAUGAAAUUAUUUUAAAUGAGUUGUCCUUAGAUGUUUAUUAAGUAUGUUAGGACAUGUAUAAAGAAAGAAAUUUUAAGGUUUGUAUUUUUCGCUGCG